UAGAUCCAUGAUUAAAAAAAAUAGAAGGCCCAAAACUCUUCUCCAAUGACAAAAGCCCUGAAACUUCACACUGAAAUGGCCUAAAACUCUUCUCCAACGAUGAAAACUCUAAAACUACGCACUGAAACUAACGCUGCCACCACUGAAACCCAAAAGCAAUGCUACCACUAUGCUCUGUUCCGGCGACGAUCUGCUCCGGCGACGGUCUUCUUAGCGGCGUUCACCCCCGAUCGACUAGAUACUCCUCCAUCGAGAUUUUUGUCUCCUCUAGCUAUGAACUGAAAUGCUCUCCUUGUUGUCUCCUCUAGUGACAAUCUCUCCAGCGAUGAUCUCCUCUGGCAAUGUUCUCCUCCGGCGGCGCGUUCUCCUCCGGCCACGCGUUCUCCUCCAGCUACAAUAUCGUCGAUUGAGCUACCAUGCCGCGAACUGAAAUGAUGUCACUGUGUGAGAGCAAGGUUGAAACAAAGAUCUCCUCCAACGAUAUUCUCCUCCGGUGACAAUCUCCUCCGGCGGUGUUCUCCUCCGACUACAGCCUCCUUCAUCGAGCUACUAUGCUACAAGUUUUUCCUUCUGUUGAGAUUCUUAGGUUUUACGAGGUAGAGUUUUUAGAUCAAAGAGGAAUGUGAUUAUCUAAUCAGUAUUGCAAAGCCACACAUGCAAAAAUUGAGAGUUCUUGAUAGCGAAAUUGGAACAAGUAAAGACAGCAAAUGUUGGUUGCAUGCAAUAUAGCUGAAACUGAAUUAAUGAAAGGAACAAUGGAAAAUUCUCCUCAUGUUGAACCUCAACACUAUUUGCCUGCAACCAUGUGAGUUUAACCAACAUUCUUCAUCACAUUUUCUCUUUUCUAAGGAUUGUAUAAUUUCUUAUUUUGAGGCACCGAGGACAGCAAGUGUCAGAAAUUUAGGGUGCCUAAAGAAAGGAAGGUUACCAUGCUAAAAAUCUUGCCACAGAGAGGAGAUGAAGAUGCAAACAGAAGUGAAUCAUAUAAGUAGGACAGAGUUCUUGCUUAAGGUAUGCUGGGAGCAGAAGCCAGGUGGGUUUUCAAGGUUGAUGGAAGCUAUAAAUUCAUUUGGAUUUCAAGUGGAAAAUGCCAAUAUGACCACAAUUGACGGAAAGGCUCAGAUCAUUCUAACAGUUGAGCCUUGAAGCUUGUGCUGCAAUAUUGUGAAAAUCUUCCAAAGCUGCUCCUAAGGUAAUGAAUUUAAAUUAGUUCUGAUUUUUGGCUUACUUUGAAUAUCUGAGCAAUUUUGUAGUGACUUUAGUGAGUUUUGUAUAGGCUGCUAAAAAGCCAAGAAUUACAGCUCAAGAACAUUAUAGACUUGGAAUUGCUGAUGGUGUUAUUCCUGUAAGGAAAUUGAAAAGUCCUGCUAGAGAUUUUGUCUCAUGACCUUCUUUGUGUUUUGAGUUUUGAAAUGAUGUUAGUACUAUGAUCUUCUAAAUCAAGAAAUCAUAAAGAAAAUUAGUGGAAUUAAGGUUGUGCAUGGAAACUAUCUCAAAAAAGAUAUACAGAAAAAUGUGCAAAUUUUGUCAUAGGACAAAGACAUGUUUGUUUUUGAAUUAUUCACUUUCUCUAAAUAGAUUUGUGUCUCAUGGUAUCUCUAUAUUUCUGUCUCGAGAUAGUUACCAAAGAGGGGCUAACGCCUAAGUUAUGACUCUUUGUAUUUGCUCAUUUGAUCUAAUGGAAAAAAUUAAAUAUUAAAUUAAUUGAAAGAAAAAGAAAAAUGUACAAGACCAACAAUGGUGUUGGUGUAGCAGUUAAGCCAUACUAUAGCCUAGAAGAAACAUUUUUGUAGAGAACACCAAUUGGAAGAGCAAGCCUGACUCACCAACAAAUUCAACUUUCUGACCAUUUUCAACAACAAAAAAUUUAGCUCAGCAACAAAUUCUUGGCAUGAAAUUGUAUGGCAUGAAUCUGAUUAAAAUUGUAUGGCAUGUUUAGUUACAAUUCCAUGUAUAGCCAUGUUGAGAAGUUAGCUGAAGAGAUUAAAAAGGGGGCUGCUUCCGUGGAAGGAGUAGAAGCAAAACUCUAGAAAUUUUUAGUUAAUAUGAAAUUAAUAAUGAGUUCUUAUCAAAUAGUAUAUUUCUUGUGAGACUGCUGGUUUAGUUUUCUCUUCUUCAAAAUGCUGGUAGUUUGCUAUUUAUUUGAGCAAUUAUCUAUUUCUAAUGUUCAAUUUUCUUUUGCAGGUAAUAUUUAUUCACGCGGACAUGAACAAUUAAAAUUUGGAAGGGCCUGUAGCAAACUUUUUGAGCAUCUCUAUGAAAACUCCAAAUGUAAUAGAACUAACAAUAUUUCUUAGUUUGAUAUUUUGUAUAGGAAUUAUUACUUUUGAUUUGCAAUACUAAAAAAUCAUAUAUUAUGUUUAAGACUUUGAGUUAUAUAAUAUUUUGUCUAUGGA